AACGAACGCUGGCGGCAGGCCUAACACAUGCAAGUCGAGCGCCCCGCAAGGGGAGCGGCGGACGGGUUAGUAACGCGUGGGAAUGUACCCUUUUCUACGGAAUAGCCUCGGGAAAACUGAGAUUAAUACCGUAUACGCCCGGUAACGGGGAAAGAUUUAUCGGAGAAGGAUCAGCCCGCGUAAGAUUAGAUAGUUGGUGGGGUAAUGGCCUACCAAGUCUACGAUCUUUAGCUGGUUUGAGAGGAUGAUCAGCAACACUGGGACUGAGACACGGCCCAGACUCCUACGGGAGGCAGCAGUGGGGAAUCUUAGACAAUGGGCGCAAGCCUGAUCUAGCCAUGCCGCGUGAGUGAAGAAGGCCUUAGGGUCGUAAAGCUCUUUCAGUGGGAAGAUAAUGACGGUACCCACAGAAGAAACCCCGGCUAACUCCGUGCCAGCAGCCGCGG
rnacentral:rRNA from 1 species